rnacentral:lncRNA from 1 species
AGAUGGAGAGACUGAGAGAAGGAGAGACAGAGAUUGUCCAGCUGUGUGACUUGGGGUGAGAUAAUGUACCUCUCUGAAUUGCUGUUUCCUUAUAAAAAGGGGUGAUGGUCAUGGUCCUGGCCCACAGGGCUGCCUGGGGAUCACAUGGGACGCCCCAUGUGAAGCACUCGGCAGGAAGCCGGGCGCAGAGCGAGUACUCGGCAGUGUCAGCUACAAUCAUUGUAAGGAAUUGGACUUCGUCCUAAGAGACGAACUUGGAGGGUUUUUGAAGAGAGGAAACCAGCAGUGUGGGUCUGAGGGAGGACGCAGGGAGACCCCUCGACUGUCGGCCACCAGGUCCAGGUGAGAGAGGAUGGUGGCCUGGCCCGGUGGCGGCCAUGGAGAUGGGGCAGCAUCAAUACUCUCUGGUGACAGACUGGCCCUGGAGUGAGGACGGGGACCCUGGUUUGGGUGGUGGCUGGCUGGGAAAGCUGUCGGCUGGGUGGGUGUGGACCACCUAAGAGUCAGACGGGACCACCAGUUCAUUCACACCACCCUCGAGCCUCUGUGCAGCCCUGGGCCCGGCCUCGUGUGGGGCUGAGCCACUUUAUAAAGGUCUCCCGGGGUGGGCCCAGGAGCCCUGGAUGCGGGGGGCUGGCAGGAGCUUGUAGACACGCCGGGAAUUCAGGGCCAAGUGGGUGAUUCCCAGCCCGCCUCUCUCCACCAGCAGGAGCAUCGUCUCCUCCGACUCUCUGGGAACUGGGGAUGAGGCUGAAUCUCCACGGGCCUCAGAUCUCCCGCCAGGCCCCCUGAGGAGGCCCUCGGACCUGCCACCGUCCCCUUCUGCAGGGCAGCGGGAGGUGCAGGGCUUUCCAUGCAUCGAGGCGUGGGCCCAUCUGCUUCCAGUUAGCAGCUCCGGGGGAGCCUAAUUGGCAGAUCAAACCCUUCGAUGUUCCGUGUUAGAGUGCCAGGCCCUUGCCCAGGAUCUGAGAUCUUACAGCGACGUGAAGUACUUAAUCGCUCAGCGCCAGGCCCGACGGGCGAACUCCAUGCUUGUUCCUUUGUCGGCACCAGCCCAGAGCUCCGAGUGAUGGGUCCACCAGCACGCCCACUCCACAGGUGGGCAUGGAGAGGUCAGCUCCUAGGUGGCAGAGCCAGGGUUGGAGCCCCGGGCCCCAACGGCCCUUGACCCUCCAUCCUGCACACCGUGGGUGGGAACCAAACCUCAGAAUCGGUCUUUUCUGGGC